UCUUCGGCAGUAUAGUGGUGAGUAUUCCCACCUGUCACGCGGGCGACCCGGGUUCGAUUCCCGACCGAGGAG
rnacentral:tRNA from 1 species